rnacentral:misc_RNA from 1 species
GAUGAAGAACGUAGCGAAAUGCGAUACGUAAUGUGAAUUGCAGAAUUCAGUGAAUCAUCGAGUCUUUGAACGCACAUUGCGCCCCCUGGUAUUCCGGGGGGCAUGUCUGUCCGAGCGUCAUUGCUGCCCUCAAGCACGGCUUGUGUGUUGGGCCUCCGUCCUCCUCCCGGGGGACGGGCCCGAAAGGCAGCGGCGGCACCGCGUCCGGUCCUCGAGCGUAUGGGGCUUCGUCACCCGCUCUUGUAGGCCCGGCCGGCGCUUGCCGACACAUCAAUCUUUUUUCCAGGUUGACCUCGGAUCAGGUAGGGAUACCCGCUGAACUUAAGCAUAUCAAUAACGGAGGA